UGCCCAGCAACUCCAAUCCCUACCUCCUCGCGGUACCGACCGGAAACUAUGAGCAACCUUAGAGAAGAUCGGGUAACCAACCCCGGUGGGAGCUUUGGUCGUAGGCUGACAGGGAAGG
rnacentral:ribozyme from 1 species